rnacentral:rRNA from 1 species
ACUCAAAUGAAUUGACGGGGACCCGCACAAGCAGCGGAGCGUGUGGUUUAAUUCGAUGCGACGCGAAGAACCUUACCAAGGCUUGACAUGUGCCUGCAACCACCCGAAAAGGUGGCCUCCGCAAGGACAGGUGCACAGAUGCUGCAUGGCUGUCGUCAGCUCGUGUCGUGAGAUGUUGGGUUAAGUCCCGCAACGAGCGCAACCCUUGUCCUUAGUUGCAUAUCUAGGGAGACCGCCGGAAACAAACCGGAGGAAGGUGGGGAUGACGUCAAGUCAGCAUGGCUCUUACGUCUUGGGCUACACACACGCUACAAUGGCCGGUACAGUGAGAAGCCACCCAGCGAUGGGGAGCAGACCUCCAAAGCCGGCCCCAGUUCAGAUUGCACUCUGCAACUCGAGUGCAUGAAGGCGGAGUUGCUAGUAACCGCGUGUCAGCAUAGCGCGGUGAAUAUGUUCCCGGGUCUUGUACACACCGCCCGU